rnacentral:lncRNA from 1 species
GCAGACUCCAUCUCAAAAAAAAAAAAAAUGGUCACCCCUUUUGCUCCUAAAUCACCCUCAAAGUAAAAGAGAACAAGAAACAGAAGCAGAAAUCCAUAUUUAGUGAAAUAAGACAACACCUGUAGCUCCAAACCUGUAGAAGCAGAUCCCAGAGAAAAGCAGGCCAGUUCUCUCCUGGAAUCCCAGAAAGUCCCAGGAAUUGGAGGCUUCAGUGCUGCAGUAGGGAGGGGACUAAAAACAAAGUCUGUAUAUGGAGCAGUAAGACCUCCGGGUUCUCAUCCCCCAUCCUGUGUGCUCUCGGGUGACUAGCCCUCUCCCUCUCCAGGUUUAGCUUCUGGAGAAAUUAAAUCAAAGAGGCUCUAGAACUGGGGAUGGCAGGCAUUGAGUGCAGGGAGUGAGUUGCCAGAGGCUGAGAGCAGAGAGAUUUAGUGGCAGUGGGCAGAGCAAACAGCAAAAUGACUGCCCUCUUCCCUGGCCUUGCUCCAGAAACUGAGCAGCCAGACAUACACACUCCCAGAAGGCAGUUGGAGGUCCCCCCGGGCAAUCAGAACCACCCACAGAGAAGACCUCCAGAUACUGACAUUUAGAAGCCUCUGACCAAAGAGCUGCCUGGCCACCCACUGGCUUACUCGCUGACAGGCCAUGCUCCUGCCGUACACACCGAUCCUAUCAGUCAUCCUCAUGGGCUCCUUUCCAGACUUCUGAGGAAAGCUUCCAACAUGAAGAGGGAGUUCAAAACAAACAGAGAGAGAGAGAGAGAGAGAGAGAAAAGAAAUAUAAACAAUGCAGGGAGCAAAAGAUAACUUCAAAUAAACUCAAAAUAUUCUUCUGGGAGAGAUGAGACAAUAUUGCAUACAUAAAACAAGAAGAGGAUGCUAUCACUAAAUUUUAAAAAAAAGUAACAGAAAGUAAGAAAGACCUCUAAGAAAUGUUUCUGAAAUGAGGUAUAAUUUUUUUUUUUUUGAGAGGGAGUCUUACUCUGUCACCCAGGCUGGAGCGCAGUGGCGUGAUCUCAGCUCACUGCAACCUCCGUCUCCCAGGUUCAAGUGAUUCUCCUGCCUCAGCUUCCUGAGUAGCUGGGAUUACAGGCAUGCGCCACCAUGCCUGGCUAAUUUUGCAUUUUUAGUAGAGACGGGGUUUCACCAUGUUGGCCAGGCUGGUCUGAAACUCCCGACCUCAGGUGAUCUGCCCACCUCAGCCUCCCAAAGUGCUGGGAUUACAGGCAUGAGCUACCGUGCCUGGCCUGUGUAUUUUUGGAGACAGAGUCUUGCUCUGUUGCCCAGGCUGGAGGGCAGUGGUGCAAACUCUGCCUCCCGGGUUCAAGCGAUUCUCGUGCGUCACCUCCCAAGUAGCUGGGGCUAGAGGCAUGUGCCACCAUGUCUGGUUACUUUUUAUAUAAACCUUCAGUUUAAUCUUUUAGCUUACUGCUGUGUUUUUCAGCUUUAUUCACUUUGCUUUUUUUCUAUAUUUUCGUUUCAACUCAACUUUUAAAAAAUCAUACUUGUAUAUUUGUAUAUUUAUAUUUAUUUUCCAAGACCUCAUUUGCCUCUUUUUCAUAAUGGGCUAUUAUUGCUCCAUGGUACAGAAUCUUCUGUUCUUUCCUAAACUAUUAGUUAUUUUUAAAAUAUUUGUUAACUUUCUCCCCCUUGCUAGUUCUCAGGUACCCGCUUUCUCCCAGAGUGCUGGCUUUCCUUAAUUAUUUGCUGACUUGUGCUGGUGUGUAACCCUUCAUACUUAGGUAUUUCUAUUUGUCUGACUGCUGAUUUGAUUCCAAUCCAGUGUUUCUUCUGAUUCGUGGAGAAGAGACGACAACGCUGUGAGGCUCUGGUUUUGGUGGCUUGUCUGGGUGUGGGAGCUCCUUGUCAUCAUGGGAUUUUUAGCUCCCUGGGUCGCCAUCCUACAUGGCCACUCUCCUGCCGAUGCUGCCCGCUACUCAGCAGGAGGGGAAGUCGAGACCACCUCCUUAACCUUACAGACAUUGAUUGUGAGCUUGGAGCACCUUCCGUGACUGGACCACCCAUGCAGUGGUCCUUUGCUUUUUGCAUUUUUAACUGCAAUUUUCCCCAAGAGUCUUCCCUAAUACAGUCUCUUAGGAAUUGACGGUGGGAUUAAACAAGGCAUGUUUCUGCACUGAAUAUGGUCUAUGGGUUGCCACUUUGCAACCUCAGCUUUAAGGCUUAUUUCCUCCCAGGAAACUGAUGUUAACUUUUUAAGUUAAAAAUGUGUAUAUAAGUAAUACAUGUUUAUUUUGGAAAUUAGAAAAUACAGGCCAGGUGUGGUGGCUCAUGCCUGUAAUCCCAGCAUUUUGGGAGGUUGAGGCAGGAGGAUUGCCUGAGCCCAGGAGUUUGAGACCAGCCUGGGCAACAUAGGGAAAUUCCAUCUCUACAAAAAAAUUAAACAUUAGCUGGGUGUGGUGGUGCCCACCUGUGGUCACAGCUACUCGGGAGACUGAGGUGGGAGGAUAGCUUGGGCAGGGGAGGUUGAGGCUACAGUGAGCCACGAUCACACCAAUGUGACACAGUGAGACCCUGUCUCAAAAAAAAAAAAAAAGAAAGAAAAUAUAGGUAAACACAAAGACAAAAAAGCAGGGCAUGGUGGCUCACACCUGUAAUUCUAGCACCUUGGGAGGCUGAGGCAGGAGGAUCACUUGAGGUCAGGAACUCGAGACGAGACCAGGCUGGGCAGCAUGGCGAGACCCCAUCUCUAUAAAAAGUACAAAAAUUAGCAGGGCACGGUGGUGUGCACCUGUGGUCCUGCUACUUGGGAAGUUGAGGUGGGAGGAUCACCUGAGCCCUGGAGGUUGAGGGUGCUGUGAGCCAUGAUGGCACCACUCCACUCCAGUCCAGGUGAAAGAGCCAGAUCCUGUCUC